CUCCACCCGGGCGAGUCGUCCCCACUCCCGGCGCCCAGCCCGGGCAGCCUGGUCCACCCAGCCCCGUGUCCUCCGCGCCCCCGGAGCCCAGGUAGUUUAGGCGUUGCCACCAGCUGCGGAGAAACCUCCAGGCGAGUCGCCUGUUGCUACCCCACCCGGCGAAAGCGCCUUUGGCGGUACGAGCCUGCUAGACGCACACCUCCCCUCCACCAACUUGAGUUUCAGGUUAGGAUACAGGAAAACGCACUUACCUAAGUACCUUACGUCUGUGCCUUACUGGGGUAGACUACGUUAAGAAGCAAAGAUCUGACUGCACUGAAAGUUGGAUUUUUUUUUUUUUUUCCUUCCCUCCCUCCACUCCUGCGCAACAGCAGCAGUCCGCCAAAGAGGAUGUUUGAAUUGGUGAAUUAUGCUAAGACCUCGUUUCUUCAGCUGAAAUCUCGGACGCUGAUGGCACUUGUCUGGCAGAACGACCAGGCUGGGAAGGAGACCAGGUUUAUCAAAAAUAACACUAGCAGUAAGUUUCUAAUCACAUAUGAAGAGAAGAACUUACCAGUGGAAAUUUCAGGAAGCAAGAAGACUGUGAGAAAAAUACAUCCAGAAUUCCAACAGAUAUUCCAUGAUCUUCCAAAGCAAGGUAGAGUGAUGAGCUUCAGGCUGGUGGAACUUUGAAAUAAUCAGCAGUUCCUGGUGGCAUGUAACCAAGUAAAAACCAGUUACACGGAAAGCCAGGAAGCCCCAAGGAAGGGAGGCAAAAUGUGAAAGAGGUGCCUUUUAUUGGGGGUGGGGGAGUGAGAAGAGGGAGGGGGGAGGCUUAUUUGUGGUGAUCCUUAGGCAGGCAAAGUGAAAAUUUACGGACUGUACAGCCCCAGACCGUGCGGGAAAAUAGAAGCUGUGUAACCCCAGAGACCAGAAGGUGGACUACAGAUAAAUCUGCGAAGAGAAGUAAAAAGAUGUGUUGAAGACAGCGAGAUAAAGAGAGAACUAGUGAGCGAAGCUGUAGUCAUCCUGAUAGAUAGGGCAGCAAGAGAGAUUUAGUCUGCUCGGGAGGAUCCAAUGAGAAUUCAAGAGGGCACCGCUUCGGAAAUCCUGCUCAGAUCUUCCCUCUCUCAGUUCUUUAAGAGUUACCUGUGCUGGGAACAUUAUUAUUAGGAUUAACAGUAUUCCAUCAGUGCAUUCCACUAGGAUCUCCCUUUCUUUCCCUCGCAGCAACGGAGGGAGGCGUAGUAAGGAAGCCCAACUCCACCGAGCCCCCCAGAUAAACCCCUGUGUUCACUUUAGGAUGGCCGGAUUCUCGAGGAUUGGCCUGGGGGGCUGAAGAUGCGGAGGAGGCCGGGUCUCCCGGGCGCUUCCGGGGGCGCAGGGCUGGGAGGCGUAGGCAGGGGACCCGGGAACCGCGGCUGGAAGCGGCGGCGGCGGCGGCAGGAGCCCUCCCAGGUCCUGCUUCCUCGGGCGAAUCCUGCUUCCCCGGGACUCCAGGCAAUGGACUUCCAUCGGGAACCUCAGCUCCAAAUGCCUCACUUUAGCAGCUAGAGCUUUUGAGGUUCUGAGAAUCGUCCCUGUCCCUGGGGGGAGAGGGUGGCAGGCUGCGAGUCUCCCGCGCCCCCUCUGAUUCCUGCACUGUUAACGGAGGGAGAGUGAGUCAGAAAUGGCUUUGCUGCCGAAUGCAUUAUCUGGCCAUGUUCAUAGCCCUGUACCGCACAAACGAUCGCCUGAUCGAUCCGGUAAGACAAGCUUGACUCUUCCCCUUUCCUCUACCGCCCCAUCGCUUCUCUAAACCCAAACCCCGAACCCAAAUCCCAGCUUCUCUCUCUCUCUCUCUCUCUCUUUCAGGAACUUCCCUUUUCUAUUUGCCUCCUACUUCCCCCAGGGAAUUGCUUGUGCGACCGAGGGGCUGGUGAUUCUCUUUGCAAAUGAUUUAGAUUUUGGCAGUGAAAUGCACCCCCGUGCCACCCGCACCCCUUCAGACACACACACCCUCCUUAGAGAGGUUCCCUCCGUGCCCCCAGGGAUUCACUCUCAGCGCUAGGGUCUGGGUAAAGAGCGCCGUGGGAGUCUUUUGCCCUCUUAUCUUCCGCCGGACCCCGAAGCUUAAGCAUUAUUCGCCUCUCUUUUCUUUCUUUUCUUUUUUCUUUUUUUUUAGAAAUAAGAGGGAAAGGUAGAGUGGAAAUUGAUUUCUUGCAGAGACUGAGGCGCCAAAUGAAAGAGGGAAUAAACAUUUGCCCUGGAUAAAAAUGUUCUUGGUA
rnacentral:lncRNA from 1 species